AGUUAAUUUUCAUACCUGAUUAACAAUAUUUCAAUCAGAAGAUUGUUCCAUCUUUGGUAAUUACCAGUCUCUUUCUUCACAGCUGUGUUACAUGAUUUUUCAAAAGUUUUUCCAUAUCGAAUGGUUUACUCUGAAGCAAGGACCAGAAUUAAGUUGCACACACUUUAUUUCAAACCUGAUAUUCAGCUGAUGUCAAUGAUCUCCCAAUGUCUUCAUGUCCAAGAAUCGUUUCAGAUGGAAGACUGAGUGAUGUGUUUGCUGUAGGAAAAUUCAUCAACUUUGUUCGCAAAAAAAGGCCAAAGCUUUGAAAGAAAAGGGAAUAAUAUUAGGUAGAUAAAGUGGGAGAAAAUGAAUAGGAAGAAACAAAAAAGAAUUGAGUAGCCUUUAUUUUUGCCUUCUCUUGUUCAUCUCGUCUAAUUUGGCACUGUCUAUCUGUCUGUCUAUCAAUCGGAAACCUACUAAUGUCCUACUAUGCCCAAGCUCGAGGAAUUAAGGUAGACUAUGAAAAGAUUCUCAAGAGAUUGAAAGGGGAUAGAGAAGUUUAUUGUCAAGUCUUUUUUAUUUCAGAAAUAUUUUCCCUUUUCAAUGAAUAUCAAAAUGCUUGGCAAAUUUGAAAGCUGUACACGCUUGGUCGCUGUAUAGAUUAUCACAAUUAUCAGUUAUUAUUCCCAUUGAGUUGAAUGAUAAUUGUUUGAAAAAAAUUGAUUGAAUAAAUAGCAGACAAAUUGUAUUAUAUAAUAUUGGUGAAGGGAAUGAUAUACAAUGUAAGAGAAAAAAUUCAUAGAAAUUAUUGAAUGGCAAUGAAUUUAACAAAAUAAUAUGUGAUUGUGAACUAGAUUGACCUCAUCAUGAGCAUAAUCAUGCUUUGGAAAGACUGAUUUAAAUGUAAACUAGAAAUUAGAAAAGUAAGACUUGAUUUAUGGGUUCAAUUGGAAACAAAGUAAUUAAGCUAAUCAAAGCAAGAUCUUGGUUUAUGCAAAAUAGAUAGACUUUAGUUGAUAAAAAUA